GACGAACGCUGGCGGCGUGCUUAACACAUGCAAGUCGAACGGAAAGGCCCUGCAUUUGUGGGGUGCUCGAGCGGCGAACGGGUGAGUAACACGUGAGUAACCUGCCCUUGACUUUGGGAUAACUUCAGGAAACUGGGGCUAAUACCGGAUAGGAGCUCCUGCUGCAUGGUGGGGUUUGGAAAGUUUCGGCGGUUGGGGAUGGACUCGCGGCUUAUCAGCUUGUUGGUGGGGUAGUGGCUUACCAAGGCUUUGACUGGUAGCCGGCCUGAGUGGGUGACCGGCCACAUUGGGACUGAGAUACGGCCCAGACUCCUACGGGAGGCAGCAGUGGGGAAUAUUGCACAAUGGGCGGAAGCCUGAUGCAGCAACGCCGCGUGCGGGAUGACGGCCUUCGGGUUGUAAACCGCUUUCGCCUGUGACGAAGCGUGAGUGACGGUAAUGGGUAAAGAAGCACCGGCUAACUACGUG
rnacentral:rRNA from 1 species